UCCACAUAUUGUAGCAUAAAGAAUUUCUUUAAAUUAAAUAACAUUACAUAAAUUCAAGACUACAUUAAGUGUAACCUUAAAAAGCACUGUUUAUAUGAUAAAUCAGCAUUAGUAAGUUAAGAGUAAUGUUUGUUUGGCCAGAAAGCAUUUAAAUCAUAUUUAAUCUUCCUGCAGUUUCCCCAGAUUAUUUAAUUUUAAUGAAAUAAUGUGUUUAAUAAUGUUGAAAAAUAAUCACCAGCACUUUUGUUGAGCUCUGACAAAGGGAAGGACAAUUACUUGUUGUUUCUUGCAGUGAUCUCUUCCUGUUCUUAGAGCAAAUAUUAGUGGCAAUAAGUUCAUGUGAUCGAUUAUUAGUGGCAUUAAUUGGGGUUAUUUAACCAUUUAAUGAGCAGUGAAGGCAAGGGGGGGUCAGGGGAUGCUUUGAUACCCCUUAGAGCACAAUCCAGGGGCUCAUUUUCCAUCCACUGAAGACAACACGGCUUUUGCAAUUAAUUUACUAGACAAUAUAAGGCUGUGGAGGUAUUUUCCAGGUAUGUCACUCAAAUUUCCCAGUGAUUAACAGCAGCAAAGUUUUCCAAGUUGGAACUUCAGCAGGAAUGUUGGAGAGACACUGCUGUUCAACAGAAAAUUCACCUGACAACUUGGAUUUCUGUCUGAGAUUAAAAAAAACAUGAUACAGACAUGUAAUAAUAAAACAAGCAGAUCCCUUUGGUUUGGAAAUUACAGCAGGAAGGGGUGAAUAUUCCUUAUGGAUCACUUUGUUAUGCCAAGACUCACAGCCCUUGACCCAGUUU